UACGUAGGGUGCGAGCGUUAAUCGGAAUUAUUGGGCGUAAAGCGUGCGCAGGCGGCGCCAUAAGACAGCUGUGAAAUCCCCGGGCUUAACCUGGGAACUGCGGUUGUGACUGUGGUGCUAGAGUACGGCAGAGGGAGGUGGAAUUCCUGGUGUAGCAGUGAAAUGCGUAGAGAUCAGGAGGAACACCGAUGGCGAAGGCAGCCUCCUGGGCUGAUACUGACGCUCAUGCACGAAAGCGUGGGGAGCAAACAGG
rnacentral:rRNA from 1 species